rnacentral:rRNA from 2 species
UGCGAAGUCGAGCGGAAACGAUCCCAGCAUUGCUGGGAGGCGUCGAGCGGCGGACGGGUGAGUAAUGCAUAGGAAUCUGCCCGGUAGUGGGGGAUAACUUGAGGAAACUCAAGCUAAUACCGCAUACGCCCUACGGGGGAAAGCAGGGGCUCUUCGGACCUUGCGCUAUCGGAUGAGCUUAUGUCGGAUUAGCUAGUUGGUGAGGUAACGGCUUACCAAGGCGACGAUCCGUAGCUGGUCUGAGAGGAUGAUCAGCCACAUCGGGACUGAGACACGGCCCGAACUCCUACGGGAGGCAGCAGUGGGGAAUAUUGGACAAUGGGCGAAAGCCUGAUCCAGCCAUGCCGCGUGUGUGAAGAAGGCCCUCGGGUUGUAAAGCACUUUCAGUGAGGAAGAAGGCUUGUCGGUUAAUACCCGGCAGGAAGGACAUCACUCACAGAAGAAGCCCCGGCUAACUCCGUGCCAGCAGCCGCGGUAAUACGGAGGGGGCAAGCGUUAAUCGGAAUUACUGGGCGUAAAGCGUGCGUAGGCGGCUUGGUAAGCCGGUUGUGAAAGCCCCGGGCUCAACCUGGGAAUGGCAUCCGGAACUGUCAGGCUAGAGUGCAGGAGAGGAAGGUAGAAUUCCCGGUGUAGCGGUGAAAUGCGUAGAGAUCGGGAGGAAUACCAGUGGCGAAGGCGGCCUUCUGGACUGACACUGACGCUGAGGUACGAAAGCGUGGGUAGCAAACAGGAUUAGAUACCCUGGUAGUCCACGCCGUAAACGAUGUCGACUAGCCGUUGGGGUCCUUGAGACCUUUGUGGCGCAGUUAACGCACUAAGUCGACCGCCUGGGGAGUACGGCCGCAAGGUUAAAACUCAAAUGAAUUGACGGGGGCCCGCACAAGCGGUGGAGCAUGUGGUUUAAUUCGAUGCAACGCGAAGAAACCUUACCUACCCUUGACAUCGUGCGAACUUGGUAGAGAUACCUUGGUGCCUUCGGGAGCGCACAGANAGGUGCUGCAUGGCUGUCGUCA